rnacentral:rRNA from 1 species
GCGCGUAGGCGGGCUCGCCAGUCAGGGGUGAAAGCCCACGGCUCAACCGUGGAAGUGCCUUUGAUACUGCGAGUCUCGAGGGAGGUAGGGGCGUGCGGAACUUCCGGUGGAGCGGUGAAAUGCGUAGAUAUCGGAAGGAACACCGGUGGCGAAAGCGGCGCGCUGGACCUCUUCUGACGCUGAGGCGCGAAAGCCAGGGGAGCGAACG